rnacentral:rRNA from 1 species
CGUACGCUGGCGGCAGGCCUAAUACAUGCAAGUCGAACGGCUCUUCGGAGCAGUGGCGGACGGGUGAGUAACGCGUGGGAAUGUGCCCUUUGGUACGGAACAACACAGGGAAACUUGUGCUAAUACCGUAUGUGCCCUUCGGGGGAAAGAUUUAUAGCCAUUGGAGCAGCUCGCUUUGGAUUAGGUAGUUGGUGAGGUAAAGACUCACCAAGCCUACGAUCCAUAGCUGGUCUGAGAGGAUGACCAGCCACACUGGGACUGAGACACGGCCCAGACUCCUACGGGAGGCAGCAGUAGGAAAUCUUGCGCAAUGGUCGAAAGCCUGACGCAGCCAUGCCGCGUGUAUGAUGAAGGUCUUAGGAUUGUAAAAUACUUUCACCGGGGAAGAUAAUGACGGUACCCGGAGAAGAAGCCCCGGCUAACUUCGUGCCAGCCGCCGCGGUAACAC